rnacentral:misc_RNA from 1 species
UCUCCGUUGGUGAACCAGCGGAGGGAUCAUUAUAGAGUUUUCUAAACUCCCAACCCAUGUGAACUUACCAUUGUUGCCUCGGCAGAAGCUACCCUGUGGCGUCUUACCCGGGAACGGCCUACCCUGUAGCGCCUUACCCUGGAACGACCUACCCUGUAGCGGCUGCCGGUGGACUACUCAACUCUUGUUAUUUUAUGGUUAUCUGAGCGUCUUAUUUUAAUAAGUCAAAACUUUCAACAACGGAUCUCUUGGUUCUGGCAUCGAUGAAGAACGCAGC